GCUGGAACUACUCAGGCACCCGCCACCAUGCCCGGCUAAUUGUUUGUAUUUUUAGUAGAGACAGGGUUUCACUGUGUUAUCCAGGAUGGUCUUGAUCUCUUGACCUCAUGAUCCACCCGCCUCGGCCUCCCAAAGUGCUGGGAUUACAGGCGUGAGCCACCGCACCCAGCCGGAAACUGAAUAGGUAUUACAAGGAAGGAACAGUCUCUGUUUUCCUGAACUUCCUCCCGUUCAAGUUAAACUGGAGAAGAUCAUGCCAGGAGAAAAAUAAGAAAAACAUGCUCUCUCUUCUCUAAUGAUUGGACAGACUCCUACUCCAAAACAGAAGAUCUCAACUCUGGAAGGGAGGAGAAACAAGACCCCCAGGACUUGUCAAUGGCACACAUGAAAGACAGAAAACACCAGAAGCCAGUCUUCAGCCUGCUGGCCCAGCCAUGGCCACUGUAACGUACGGCUAAACCCCUGCCCCGAUCAGCUCUCAAGGCUCUGAGCCAACUGCCUAGACCGUCUAUUUGAGAUCCCUGAGAGUUUCAACACAGGGCAUGGCUGACCUCUCCACCGUGUCAUUUCCAGUAAUGCGGCCUCACUGAUAGCAGAAGUUCGGAGAGCUCUUGUCAGAGAGGCCAGCUGGCACCAUGUGAGUCUUACCCAGAGGGAAACCUGACAAUCUUCCAGCAUGCUCACCAGACUGGGGCACUGACUUUUGUCACUUGAUUCUCAACUCACAGUCUCAAGAUGCUGGUGCUAAUGUACAUUGCAGCUGACACUGGAGUUUAUUUUUAUAACUGCUCUUGCCUCAGAAAAAGCUCCAUCCCAGUACGACUUCCAGGACAGGGAUGGUCUGGAUGCUGCAGUUAGGACAAUGAUCAUCUCGUUCUCUUAGUGGUUAGGAAUCCUGUGGGCUUAUGGAAUAAGCUCGCUGAAACAGACAGUGACAUCCACGGUGACACUGACCGAAUUGUGCUCCAGUGGCCUAGAGAGUGCCUAUUAUUUAUCUCAUUUCUGUUCUGCAUAAUAACACCAACCAAACCGCUAAUGAAUGAAUAUUAUUACAUGCUUUGGUAGGAACGCAAAGGCAAAUUGGGCUCACUGUAGAGAAUAUCUUGCUCCUCAUUUUGUAUUAAAAUGCCUAGACGCCCCUCAAGAGACCAUGUCAAGGAUGAAAUUUAUCCACUGCCUGCAUUUGCUAAUUUGAAAGAGUUCUGAUUUCAUCUGCCGGGCUUAAUAUAGAAAUUCUUUUAACCUGAACAGAUACACAGAAAUGUGGAAUUUAUUCAAUGCCAUUUUCUUGAUUUAUGUCAGGAAAUAUAUAUGGCUAUGCUGUCAUCUUUUUAUAUAUAGACAUCAAUAUAUAUAAAUAUAUAGAGUCAAGUCAGAAAUUCUGAAACCACAUUGCACUUAGCCCUUACAGCAUAAUGCUUUCCAUAUUCUUCACAGUUUGUUUCCCUGAUCCUUUAGAGAGAGCUACUGUGUUUAAAGUGUAAACCAUUUUUACAGAAAAAAUGUAUUACAAUUCUAUAUGAUAAUUCUCAAAGUUCAGGAAAAUAAUCUGAAAUAAACAUUCUAAAUUGAGGAAUGAAUAAUAAAGACUCAUCAAUUGGGCUGGGAGCAGUGGCUCACGCCUGUAAUCUCAGUACUUUGGGAGACCGAGGCAGGCGGAUCACCUGAGGUCAGCCUGGCCAACCUGGUGAAACCCCGUCUCUACCAAAAAAAUACAAAAACUAGCUGGGCAUGGUGGCACAUGCCUGUAAUCCCAGCUACUCUGAAGGCUGAGGCAGGAGAAUUGCUUGAACCUGGGAGGCAAAGGUUCCAGUGAGCUGAGAUCGCCCUAUUGCACUCCAGCCUAGCUGUCUCAAAAAAAA
rnacentral:lncRNA from 1 species